rnacentral:rRNA from 1 species
CAGUAGCCGCGGUAAAACGAAGGGGGCUAGCGUUGCUCGGAAUGACUGGGCGUAAAGGGCGCGUAGGCGGUUCGUACAGUCGGAUGUGAAAUUCCUGGGCUUAACCUGGGGACUGCAUUCGAUACGUGCGGGCUUGAGUGUGGAAGAGGGUUGUGGAAUUCCCAGUGUAGAGGUGAAAUUCGUAGAUAUUGGGAAGAACACCGGUGGCGAAGGCGGCAACCUGGUCCAUGACUGACGCUAAGGCGCGAAAACGUGGGGAGCAAACAGGAUUAGAUACCCCGGUAGUCCCUGUCUCUUAUAA